UCUUAUGUAUAUGCCUACAAUAUUAAUGCAACGAAUCCCAUCAGAACUCCACAGUUAAGCAUGCUUAGACUAGAGUAGUACUAGGAUGGAUGACCUCUUGGGAAGUUCUAGUGUUUUACAAGCC
rfam:Picea glauca, whole genome shotgun sequence.